rnacentral:rRNA from 1 species
UGCGCCAAGGAACUUCAACUAAAGAGUGCCUCCGGUCGCCUCGGAAACGGCGUGCGUGCCGGGGGCGAAUCUUGUGCAAAACCAUAACGACUCUCGGCAACGGAUAUCUCGGCUCUCGCAUCGAUGAAGAACGUAGCGAAAUGCGAUACUUGGUGUGAAUUGCAGAAUCCCGCGAAUCAUCGAGUCUUUGAACGCAAGUUGCGCCCGAAGCCAUCUGGUCGAGGGCACGUCUGCCUGGGUGUCACGCAUCGUUGCCCCCAACCCCAUCGCCUCUCCAAGAGACGAGGGCGGUCUGCGGGGCGGACAUUGGCCUCCCGUGAGCUUUCGCUCGCGGCUGGCCUAAAAGCGAGUCCUCGGCGACGAGCGCCACGACAAUCGGUGGUUGACAAACCCUCGUGUCCCGUCGUGCGCGGCUCGUCGCUCGUCUUGUGCUCUGUGACCCUGUAGCGUCGCGCUCGCGACUCUUCCAACGCGACCCCAGGUCAGGCGGGACUACCCGCUGAA